rnacentral:rRNA from 1 species
GACGAGGGGUCCUAGCGUUGUUCGGAAUCAUUGGGCGUAAAGCGUAUGUAGGCGGCUUAUUAAGUCAGGUGUGAAAUCCCAUGGCUCAACCAUGGAAUUGCAUUUGAAACUGAUGAGCUUGAAUGUGGAAGAGGUUGGUAGAAUACCUGGUGUAGUGGUGAAAUACGUAGAUAUCAGGUGGAAUACCGGUGGCGAAGGCGGCCAACUGGUCCAACAUUGACGCUGAGAUACGAAAGCGUGGGGAUCAAACAGG